CUUGAGUUGUGUAAAAGUGCUUACAGUGCAGGUAGAGUUUGGGAUCUACUGCAGUAUAAGCACUUCCAGCAUGACUGUGG
rnacentral:pre_miRNA from 10 species